GGCCAGACUCCUACGGGAGGCAGCAGUGGGGGAUAUUGCACAAUGGGGGAAACCCUGAUGCAGCGACGCCGCGUGGGCGAAGAAGUAUUUCGGUAUGUAAAGCCCUAUCGGCAGGGAAGAAGAAAUGACGGUACCUGAGUAAGAAGCGCCGGCUAAAUACGUGCCAGCAGCCGCGGUAAUACGUAUGGUGCAAGCGUUAUCCGGAUUUACUGGGUGUAAAGGGGGCGCAGACGGCGAUGCAAGCCAGGAGUGAAAGCCCGGGGCCCAACCCCGGGACUGCCCUUGGAACUGCGUGGCUGGAGUGCAGGAGGGGCAGGCGGAAUUCCUGGUGUAGCGGUGAAAUGCGUAGAUAUCAGGAGGAACACCGGUGGCGAAGGCGGCCUGCUGGACUGCAACUGACGUUGAGGCCCGAAAGCGUGGGGAGCAAACAGGAUUAGAUACCCCUGUAGAC
rnacentral:rRNA from 1 species